AUAAAGAGUCAGAAGCUUGUAGAAUGUGUUGUAAGAUGUUUCGUUAUUGUGCAUUUGUUUUAAUGGUCUUUUUGGUGUUUGUAAACCAAGGGUUUGGCGGUGAAUAUGAAGAGUGCAUUCGAAUGAGUGCGUGCCACUUACGACCAUUCCUUUCCGGGCCGUCUUGCUACGAGGGAUGUGACAAGUUCCUGCGGAAAAGUUAAACACUAACUAAAUAAAAUAAACUAUUUCCUUUUUCGAGGAACUAAUAAAAAACUAGUUUCGA